AUGGCCACGAGCACGCGCAGCAGUGCCAGUGUCAGUGUCUCGCAGGUCGCCUUCGUGCUCUCCGCCGUUGCUUUCCUCUCCCUGUUCUCGUCGUCAUCCUUCGGGGCCGCCGCUAUAAGGGCUUCUUCUUCCUCCUCUCUCCCUUCCGGCGCCGCCCUAUCAGCUCGCCUUGCGGCCUUGUGCGGCUUUGUCACCACCAAGAAGGCUCUCUUCGUCCUCUCCAAUGCCAUCUUCCUCUUCCUCGCCGCCGAUUGCCGCUGCUUCUUCCCCGGCGCCUCCAGCAUGGCCACCCCGUCCACUAGUGACGGAAUCGUCAUGGCUUCUGAACUGCCGCCAUGUGCCGUUCAAGCUCAAGCAUGUGGUUCUUAUCAAUGGAGCCUUUGCUACAGCAGCAACACCAAAGCUGCAUCGGCGAGUAGUUCGGGAGAGCAAGGGAUUAAACGAGAGGAGGUGCCGGUGUGGUCGCAGUUCAUGUCAGCUGGGCUCGAGGAAGACGAUGCCAACAUCGUCGCCUUGGAGACAGAGCAAACCAGUGGCGGCGGAGUAGCCGAGGAGGAGCUAGAGAAGCUAGAGAUCGAGGAGCUCAACAGGAAGUUUGAGGAUUUCAUCCAAAGUAGAAGGAUUAAAUGGCUCAAGGAGGAGGAGCAAGUAUUGCGAUGCCAACAACAGGUCGCCUAA
rnacentral:rRNA from 1 species